rnacentral:rRNA from 1 species
AUUGAACGCUGGCGGCAUGCCUUACACAUGCAAGUCGAACGGUAACAGGUCUUCGGAUGCUGACGAGUGGCGAACGGGUGAGUAAUACAUCGGAACGUGCCUAGUAGUGGGGGAUAACUACUCGAAAGAGUGGCUAAUACCGCAUGAGAUCUACGGAUGAAAGCAGGGGAUCGCAAGACCUUGUGCUACUAGAGCGGCCGAUGGCAGAUUAGGUAGUUGGUGGGAUAAAAGCUUACCAAGCCGACGAUCUGUAGCUGGUCUGAGAGGACGAUAAGCCACACUGGGACUGAGACACGGCCCAGACUCCUACGGGAGGCAGCAGUGGGAAAUUUUGGACAAUGGGCGCAAGCCUGAUCCAGCAAUGCCGCGUGCAGGAUGAAGGCCUUCGGGUUGUAAACUGCUUUUGUACGGAACGAAAAGCCCCGGGUUAAUACCCUGGGGUCAUGACGGUACCGUAAGAAUAAGCACCGGCUAACUACGUGCCAGCCGCCGCGGUAA